UGGGGAAUAUUGCGCAAUGGGCGAAAGCCUGACGCAGCGACGCCUCGUGAGGGAUGAAGGUCUUCGGAUCGUAAACCUCUGUCAAGAGGGAAGAAACCUUUGGAUUCGAACAGGGUCCUUAGCUGACGGUACCUCUAAAGGAAGCACCGGCUAACUCCGUGCCAGCAGCCGCGGUAAUACGGAGGGUGCAAGCGUUAAUCGGAAUCACUGGGCGUAAAGCGCUCGUAGGCUGUUUGGUAAGUCAGACGUGAAAUCCCGCGGCUUAACCGCGGAACUGCGUUUGAUACUGCCAGACUUGAGUGUCGGAGAGGGUGGCGGAAUUCCGGGUGUAGGAGUGAAAUCCGUAGAUAUCCGGAGGAACACCAGUGGCGAAGGCGGCCACCUGGACGACAACUGACGC
rnacentral:rRNA from 1 species